UUUAAAAAUCCUGUAAGCAAAACAUGCGGUGACACGUGGAUUUAAAUAUUGUUUCCACAGAAUUUUAUAGGAAAGGUGUAACAACAGAAAUAUGAAGUUCAAUGAUUGUAUACCAUUAAUUAUUUCAAUAUACAUGACAAAAUUUUCAUUAUCUGCACCUGUUGAUUCUAAGAAACAAAAUCCAUAUGAUAUAAUAGAUGAUUUUAAUCUUGAAUAUAAUAAUUAUAUGAAAGAAGUUGCUAAAAUUUUGGAAGGAGAUGAAGACUUCCUUAAAGAAAUUAAAAAUAUUGCACAUACAGAUGAUUUUGAG